UCCCUGGUGAUCCAGUAGUUAGGACUCUGGGCUUCCACUGCCAGGGGCACAGGUUCGAUCCCUGGCUGGGGAA
rnacentral:tRNA from 1 species